AUGCAUGUAACAUAUCUGAAUAUGAUUGCAGUGAUGGAAACCCAAGGAUUUAGUGAAUAUGAUCUGCUGUUUCACAUUGAGGAUCCAGAUUUAGGGGAGAAAGGAUUGGAGAUGGUAGAGAGUAAUGCUGAGUUGCAAAUAGUAAAGAGGCGGGUUGAGGAGUGUAAGGUUCUAAAUUUGCUAGUGAGGGCAUGUCCACCUCCUUGCAGCCAGUUUGAGAGGCAAGAAUUGUCCACAGUUGUGUAUGAAGAGCCUGUGUUAUAUGAUCUCAGUGAGCCACCCAUCUAUGUUGUUGAUCAAGAAGGAGUUGUCUUUGAAAGUCAGAUUAGCAGCUGUAGUGCAGCUCAUGGUACUGGUGUUUGCACACAAGAGAGCAAGAAUGUAAAAGGAAAGCUGAAAGUUGUUUUGGAGCUAGAAGAAGAAGAGGGAUAUGAGGGUAGUGGUGGUUCUGAUUGUGAAGGUGAAGAUGACAGUGAUGGAAACCCUUUUUAUAUGGGUGAUGCUGAUGACAUAGAGAUGGAUGAGGGAAAGAGACAGAGAGAGUAUGAUGAAAUAGAAGAGGAAGAAAUAGAUGAUGAAGAAUCUGAGGAGGAAGAAGUGGUGCAUUAUGAGGGUGACACAGAGGUUGAGGAACUUUUUCAAAUGGAUGAAGAUGACAAAGUUGUUUCACAGGAUGAAGAAACUGUAGUUGUACAUGAAGAGAAGAAGAAGAAGAAACAGAAGCUUCCAGUUAGGAGAGGGCCUACAACAAGGUCACAUUCAAGUGUAGUACAAGAGGAGGAGCCUGAUUUCAAACCUUCAUCUCAUGAAGAAGAGAAAGGAUUGUUGAAGGAGGCUGAUGAUGAUGGUUUUCAGCCAUUGUCAUUUGUGCUGCCAAAGAAAAGGAAGAGCAGGGCAAAGCAGAGGCCUCCUAGAAAAUGGUACAAUGAGAAAAUGGAGCAACCUCAUGAGCAAUUAUGUCUAAAGAUGUGUUUCAAGGAUCAACAUCAAUUCAGAGAGGAUUUGUUGAACUUACACAUCACUCAAGGCAGAAACUUCAAAUAUCACAGGAACUCAGACCAAAGGAUAAUUGUAGAAUGCAACCAAAAACAUUGCAAAUUCUUUAUGGUGGCAUCAGUUAUAAAAGGUGAAACUACAUUUGUAAUUAAGAAGAUGAGAAUUGAGCACACUUGCCCUAUUAGUACAGAGACAACAAGGGUAAGUGCCAAGUGGCUGGCCAACAAGUAUGAGUCACUGUUCAGAUCUGAUCUAACAACUGGCAUUCACACUUUGAUUGAUGCUUGCAUGGAGAAGUAUGGCGUGGAUGUGCCCAAGUCAAUGGUAUAUAGGGCAAAGAACCUAGCUAUUGAUGUUGUGUUAGGAGACCACAAAAAGCAAAACCCUAGGUUGAAAGACUAUGCUCAGACAGCCUGGGAGUAG
rnacentral:rRNA from 1 species